ACACGGACGUCGUUCAGGUAGCAGCUAAGUUUAUUCGGACAGCACCACCGGGGAAAAUCCGUUUCACGAAGGGGAGGCAGAGCUCAGACGGGGACAAGGUUACAGAACUUUGACUUACGUUGUCAGCAGCACGUACACAAAUACUCGGGUUAUUGAGUGUGCAACUGACAAUGUUAGCCAACCGUAGGUCUCCAACCUUGUCCCAGUCUGAGCAUUGUGUUGUCCCAGCCUUUGCGUGGUCUUUCCAGUCUACCGUGGUAGAUAAAUGCAGAUACUAGUUGAACGAUGUACGUGUUUGUCGUCUUGUGCCCUUUCGCGUUUUUUACAUGUUGAGUAUCACAUAUUGAACACGUUUCAUCACGAAAGGGCUCUACGAAUGAUGAUUUUGAAGCUCAUAAACCGUGGCUGGGGCACUACUUUCUUGUUAGGAGCUUCUCGUGGCAGGGUAACUGUAUAACCAGAUCUGGCCGAGGCCACAGCCUGAAUCAGGGUGUCUAGUGUGGACGCUAUCUUGUCAUCUAGUGCUGGGUCUAUCACAGUGGACAGAAGCUGCUGAUGCAACGCUGCGGCUCGUGAAACACUUUUCCUCUCGUGUGUUGCCACCCUUCCCCUGUAUGGCAUCUAUGGUAACCAAUGGCUCCAUCACGUCUUCAGUGCUGUCCGCCUGCAAUGAGGAAAACAAUGCAACUGUUACUGCAAGCAUGGAAUCAGAAGCCCCUGAUGUAGCACAGGUGAAAUGAUGGAUGCAGGCAGUGCAGUUUGGACACCUGAAGCUGCAGGGUUCUCGUGUACAAGGACUGUCUGGCAGCUGUGUCACAGUGUAAGACACCCCUUCACAAGUCUGGGAUUUGAUGGACCACUGGUGUGUGUCAACAGUGCUGAUGUGCUCCGGUAGGAUCGUAGACCCAGCCUCAUGCCGCUUUACAAUUUCCCGGGCUUGUGCUGCAGGGCCUCAAGCCUCAUGUUCGUGUUGAUCCCAGCUCCUGCACGAUAACAGGCUGCCCAAACAUUUGCUCUGCCAGCAUAGUAUCGC